CAAAUAGACAAAUAGUUUGUUUUGGACCUUCCAGAAUAACGAAAAAAAAUUUUCAACCCUUGUACAGUUGUGUUGAUUAAUGGACAAUUCAAUAGUUUCCCAUUCAACCAAAUGAAAUUUCAUAGGCCUCUCAUUGCAAGCAAUUAAGGAAGUGGUGAAGAUGUGACAAUCCAAUAGUUUCCCAUUAAACCAAAUGAACAAUUAGUUAUUCUAAUUAUUUUUGUAAUAUUACUUAAUCAAAUUGGUGG
rnacentral:misc_RNA from 1 species